AUGAUUACGAUGAACAGGACAAGCCGACUUGUUGAAAAUAUAGAGAGUCUUUGGUUGCUGGAAAAAGGCAAGAAAACAAGAAAAGGAUAUCACCUGGGAGUAAACGUGAUUCUGCGUUAAGGAAAACAAUGAAGGGUAUGGUCUUUGACCAUAAACUAAGGUGGUACCGCGUUCAAUUAACGUCCUUAGA
rnacentral:ncRNA from 1 species